rfam:Steinernema glaseri strain NC unplaced genomic scaffold GLAS_6478, whole genome shotgun sequence.
GGGGGUAUAGCUCAGGGGUAGAGCGCUCGCUUCGCAUGCGAGAGGCCUGGGGUUCGAUUCCCCAUACCUCCA